UUGUCUCCUCUCUAUGCAUACAUGCCGGGCACUAGGACCCAGAGUCUGCAGGGAGGUGCGGCCUCUGACCUGAUAUGCUACUGCACAUGUGCAGACUGUGGCCACCUUUACUGUACAGAGUGAUGCAGUGCACAGUACUUAACUCCAGAGCAGCAGAACCAGGCAGCCAGUAUGUGAGAAGGACGGUAUGCAGUGCAGGCAGAGACACAGGAGUAUCAGGUUUUGUGACCUACCGAUGGAGCUUCCCAACCAGAGAAGAGAUAAGAGGGCGGAGAGAGCUUGACCACAGGAGGGCGCACACCGCACUCCCGGGAGGCAGUGAGAGAGCCGCGACUGGUUGCUAUGGAAACCCUGGUGACCGACCGGCCGCUGAGAUGACGUCAGAUCCGGGAGGACGUCACGCUGGCCGAACGGGAGGACGACGGACGCCAACACCUGUGGUACACCUGCAUCUUAUAAAAGAUAUGUUAAAGUUAAUCUGUUUGCAAUGCUGUAUAUUCACUAUUCUGCACUUUUGUAACUGCGUCCUGACGAAAAGGCCGGAGGGCCUUGAAACGUUGACGACUAUUUAAUAUGAAGUUUCA